rnacentral:rRNA from 1 species
UGGGGAAUAUUGCACAAUGGGCGCAAGCCUGAUGCAGCCAUGCCGCGUGUGUGAAGAAGGCCUUCGGGUUGUAAAGCACUUUCAGCGAGGAGGAAGGUGGUGAACUUAAUACGUUCAUCAAUUGACGUUACUCGCAGAAGAAGCACCGGCUAACUCCGUGCCAGCAGCCGCGGUAAUACGGAGGGUGCAAGCGUUAAUCGGAAUUACUGGGCGUAAAGCGCACGCAGGCGGUUUGUUAAGUCAGAUGUGAAAUCCCCGGGCUCAACCUGGGAACUGCAUUUGAAACUGGCAAGCUAGAGUCUCGUAGAGGGGGGUAGAAUUCCAGGUGUAGCGGUGAAAUGCGUAGAGAUCUGGAGGAAUACCGGUGGCGAAGGCGGCCCCCUGGACGAAGACUGACGCUCAGGUGCGAAAAGCGUGGGGAGCAAAACAGGAUUAGAUACCCUGGUAGUCCACGCUGUAAAACGAUGUCGAUUUUGAAGGUUGUGCCCUUGAGGCGUGGCUUCCGGAGCUAACGCGUUAAAUCGACCGCCUGGGGAGUACGGCCGCAAGGUUAAAACU